AGUGAACGCUGGCGGUAGGCCUAACACAUGCAAGUCGAACGGCAGCACAGUAAGAGCUUGCUCUUACGGGUGGCGAGUGGCGGACGGGUGAGGAAUACAUCGGAAUCUACUUUUUCGUGGGGGAUAACGUAGGGACACUUACGCUAAUACCGCAUACGACCUACGGGUGAAAGCAGGGGAUCUUCGGACCUUGCGCGAUUGAAUGAGCCGAUGUCGGAUUAGCUAGUUGGCGGGGUAAAGGCCCACCAAGGCGACGAUCCGUAGCUGGUCUGAGAGGAUGAUCAGCCACACUGGAACUGAGACACGGUCCAGACUCCUACGGGAGGCAGCAGUGGGGAAUAUUGGACAAUGGGCGAAAGCCUGAUCCAGCCAUACCGCGUGGGUGAAGAAGGCCUUCGGGUUGUAAAGCCCUUUUGUUGGGAAAGAAAAGCAGCAGGUUAAUCCCCCGCUGUUCUGACGGUACCCAAAGAAUAAGCACCGGCUAACUUCGUG
rnacentral:rRNA from 1 species